CCGGUAUAUAAAUCAAUAACGUCAAUAAUUUAAAAAUAAAUAAAUUGAUACAUAUAAAAUAGUAAUAAGUGUGGUUAAACGCAAACAAUCAAACAACAAACAGCAAUAAAAUUUUCUUUAUUAAUUUGUGAUAAAUAAGCAUGUUGAUCACACAUCGUCAUCUUUUCAUUUGGUUUAUUGUCUUUCAUCGGCAUUCGCUGCGUGAUGGCUAAUAUGCAACACCCCUGAAAACACAACGCACCUAAUGGGUAAUAAAGUUAUAAACAAUUAGCGCUAAUUCAUUACCGUUCUACAUAAACGAAGUAAACGCAUUCGAUACAGCUGUACUGCACACGCGUUUUAAAGAAGUGUAACGUGUCAGUUAAGAACCUUGUGUAAUAUACAUCCCUUUGUGUCAAAACCGGAUUAAUAUUGAUUACGAAACAGCAGUAAAUGUGUGCAUGGAUUAUGUUGGAAUUUAAUGCCUCAUGUCUACGGUAAAGUUUUAAAAUAUUGUUCAACUUAGUGUUUGUUUUUGUUCAAACAUAGAGCAUGAUUGUUCGUUAGGAUCUUAAAUUCGCCGAUCGGUUGACUGACGAAAUUUAUGAACAUUAAUGCCUGACGAUUAAUAAUGGUUUCACAGUACGUAUUUUGAGGCAUGUGUAGUCCCAUAGAAAGUUGAAUUUAAUUAAAUACCUUUCUUACUAAAUUCAAGUUUUAAAGGAUUCAAUAUCAACCCUUAGAUACUGAUAAGCAGCAAAAAGCAUAAAACCUGAACAGACUGCGAGUGACUUGCAGGCUGUUCUGGUUUUAUGCUGGUUGCAAAAGCCAUUUUCUCUUUGCUUCUUAUGGGGGAAAGGGUUAAUAAACUUCUUGAAUAUUAUUGAACCAUUCUCCCUCAAAUACAAGCCGUUGACAAUCAUGUCUUAAUGUAUAAUGCAUUUUUGUAUUAUGGGAAAUAUUCAAUGUGCGGGAACAAAAACUGUCACGUGACCACAAAUGCGAACGACCAUGGCUAUUUUAUGGACAAAACUUCAAUCGAGGACCAUUUAUAUGCUGUACGGGACGAUCGCAUAAAUAUCAUCUGCUGGAGAAGUCCAAUGAUUUACCAUCAGAGUGUGACCAGAACUGUGCGGCAUGUGUAUCUAGAUCCAGAGCAGUCGUUACUUAUAUUACGAUCAAGGACCAUUUCUUUGAUCAUGAAAAGGGAGUAAGAAGAAAGGUGGGACCGUAGAUACGGACAGAAACUCUACAAAAAGGGGCCCUUGGUGUUAGAUUGGAAAAAGCUAGAAGAAAUGAAUCCAAAAUGCUGGUUACUUCUAAAAUGGGCUGAACAGACGUCAUCAAACUUUCAUUGUGUUAUGUGUACUAUAUUGGAACAGCAAAACGGUGAAUUCGAAUGUAAAUUAUAUAGAUUAUAUACCAGUUAAUGACAUAUUUAUUUAAAGGUUAAUACUUUUACGAACAUAUACCAACUGAAUGUGCAUUUUAUUUCUACAUAUUGUGUACGUAUCCCAUGCGUCAGUGGCGUCUGGGAUACGCAACUUAUUGUUUAACAUGUUAUAAGUGUUAAUAUAUGCAUAUUAAAUUUCAUAAAUGA